rnacentral:rRNA from 1 species
UCUAAGCACAUGCCUUAAUACGGUGAAGCCGCGAAUAGCUCAUUACAACAGCCAUCGUUUAUUAGAAUAUCGUUAUCCUACUUGGAUAACUGUGGCAAUUCUAGAGCUAAUACAUGCAAUAAAGCUCUGCCCGCAAGGAACGAGCGCAUUUAUUAGAAUAAAAACCAAUCGAGCUUCGGCUCGUAAUUUGGUGAAUCUGAAUAACUUUGCCAAUCGCACAGUCCUAGUACUGGCGAUGUAUCUUUCAAGUGUCUGCCUUAUCAACUUUCGAUGGUACGCUAUACGCCUACCAUGGUAGUAACGGGUAACGGAGAAUAAGGGUUCGACUCCGGAGAGGGAGCCUGAGAAACGGCUACCACAUCCAAGGAAGGCAGCAGGCGCGCAAAUUACCCACUUCCAGAACGGAGAGGUAGUGACGAAAAAUAACGAGACAGUCCUCUUUGAGGUCUGUCAUCGGAAUGGGUACAAUUUAAA